CCACAGGGGAAAUCAGCAUGGAAAAACGAGUCGGGGGUAUGAAAUUUACCUCGAUCAGCAGUCGAAAAUCUCCCCGGUGCGGCGGCGGGUGGCGGCGGCCGGCGUCUCCGGCGUCUGGUUCGUCUUCUCCGGCGAGGGCAGGCGGCAAGGGUUUUUGUGGUCUGGUGUGGGGGUUCUAUUUAUACCCUUUUGCCUUUUGAUCUCAGCCGUCCAUUUUGUUUUAAUCUGGGCCGUUCUUUUUUUGAUUAAAUCUGGGCCGCCCGUACGCACGCUUGAUCUGGGCCGUCCGAUCGUGCGUACGCGGAUCGCCAACGUGGCCCGUCCCCGGUUGACGUGGUUUUGCCACGUGGCAGGUCCUGGUUGGCCGGGACUGCUGAC
rnacentral:lncRNA from 1 species